GACGUAGGGCGCGAGCGUUUGUCCGGAUUUAUUGGGCGUAAAGAGCUCGUAGGCGGCUUGUCGCGUCGACUGUGAAAUCCCGCGGCUCAACUGCGGGUCUGCAGUCGAUACGGGCAGGCUAGAGUUCGGUAGGGGAGACUGGAAUUCCUGGUGUAGCGGUGAAAUGCGCAGAGUAUCAGGAGGAACACCGGUGGCGAAGGCGGGUCUCUGGGCCGAUACUGACGCUGAGGAGCGAAAGCGUGGGGAGCGAACAGG
rnacentral:rRNA from 1 species